rnacentral:rRNA from 1 species
UACGUAGGCAGCGAGCGUUGUUCGGAAUUACUGGGCGUAAAGAGUGUGUAGGCGGUGCUCUAAGUCUGUCGUGAAAUCUCCCGGCUUAACUGGGAGGGUGCGGCGGAAACUGGAGUGCUAGAGGGUGGGAGAGGAAAGCGGAAUUCCUGGUGUAGCGGUGAAAUGCGUAGAUAUCAGGAGGAACACCUGCGGUGUAGACAGCUUUCUGGACCACUUCUGACGCUGAGACACGAAAGCGUGGGUAGCAAACAGG